CGGAGGAUCCAAGCGUUAUCCGGAAUCAUUGGGUUUAAAGGGUCCGUAGGCGGUUUUAUAAGUCAGUGGUGAAAUCUGGUCGCUCAACGAUCAAACGGCCAUUGAUACUGUAAGACUUGAAUUACUUGGAAGUAACUAGAAUAUGUAGUGUAGCGGUGAAAUGCUUAGAGAUUACAUGGAAUACCAAUUGCGAAGGCAGGUUACUACAAGUAUAUUGACGCUGAUGGACGAAAGCGUGGGGACGCGAACAGGAUUAGAUACCCUGGUAGUCCACGCCGUAAACGAUGGAUACUAGCUGUUUGGAGCAAUCUGAGUGGCUAAGCGAAAGUGAUAAGUAUCCCACCUGGGGAGUACGCUCGCAAGAGUG
rnacentral:rRNA from 1 species